rnacentral:lncRNA from 1 species
CCUGAAUUCAGACUUCAGGCCGCGCCGUCCGAGAGUCGGGGCCCUUUGAGGUGGCUUAGGCGGUAUCCCUGAGUUGACAGCAUCACCCCGUCCCGCGUCCUCCUCUCCUCUGUUUUGUUUUUCAUCUCUCCCUCCUCCCUCCAGUCCCCGACGACUGGCCCUAGACCCUCGCUGAAGGCUUCUGGUUACUCCCGUUCCCACCCUAUCCCUUAAUUUUAUUUUUCUGAAGAAUCUGCAGUUCAAGCUAUCAAGGUGGAGAGAGCAAUUACAGAAAGACGUGUUCAUUGUUUCAGUGCACCUAUGUGACAUGGGUUUACAUAUUAUGCUGCAACAAAAACAAGUACAGGAAAAGACUUGAUGCUGCGGCUUAAAUGCGGAUCUGACUUAGCAACAUCACACCUAAUAUGUGUGUGGUAAAAAGACGUAGAAACACUAUUCUCAUCGAAAUUGAAGGGGUUUGCAUGUCUUAUUGUUAAUGUAAGAUGAAAAUAAAAGAUGGGUUUAUCUCUGGUAUUGAGAUUUUAAGAAAAUGAGUCAAAAAUUCAAA